rnacentral:rRNA from 1 species
UACGUAGGGUGCGAGCGUUGUCCGGAAUUAUUGGGCGUAAAGAGCUUGUAGGCGGUUUGUCGCGUCUGCUGUGAAAAUCCGGGGCUCAACCCCGGACUUGCAGUGGGUACGGGCAGACUAGAGUGUGGUAGGGGAGACUGGAAUUCCUGGUGUAGCGGUGAAAUGCGCAGAUAUCAGGAGGAACACCGAUGGCGAAGGCAGGUCUCUGGGCCGUUACUGACGCUGAGAAGCGAAAGCAUGGGGAGCGAACAGG